AAAUUCGAGCAAACCUCCGCCAGAAGCAAAGUGGGUCGGUUACAACAAAGUCCCCUCGGCGCAAGUUAGCGACAGCCCGUCAUAAAUACGAGGCUUUUGAUUUGAACACUGGUCAGCAGCGGGAUUAGGGUUUUGUUUUCCGUUCUCGACAGAACGGGAUUCAAAGAAGCGUAGUUACAGAGAGAGAGAGAGAGAGAGAGAGAGAGAGAGAUGGGGAACCGACGGUGCUUUUUCGACAUCAGCAUAGGAGGGGAGUUGGAGGGGCGGAUAGUGGUGGAGCUCUACAGCGACGUGGUCCCCAAAACGGCCGAAAACUUCAGAGCUCUUUGUACGGGCGAGAAGGGCAUUGGCCCUAACACUGGCGUUCCUCUCCAUUACAAGGGCGUCCGUUUUCACCGGGUUAUUAAAGGUUUUAUGAUACAAGGUGGCGACAUAUCUGCCGGAGAUGGCACCGGGGGAGAAUCCAUUUAUGGGUUGAAAUUUGAGGAUGAGAAUUUUGAGUUGAAACAUGAAAGGAAAGGAAUGCUAUCGAUGGCUAAUUCUGGACCUAAUACCAAUGGGUCUCAAUUCUUUAUUACCACCACCCGGACAUCACAUCUUGAUGGUAAACAUGUUGUGUUUGGGAAAAUAAUUAAAGGCAUGGGGGUCGUUCGUUCCAUUGAGCACACCCCCACUGAGCCUGGUGAUUGUCCCACAGUUGAUGUUGUGAUUGUAGACUGUGGGGAAAUUCCUGAAGGUGAAGAUGAUGGCAUUACCAAUUUCUUCAACGAUGGUGAUACAUAUCCUGAUUGGCCUGCUGAUCUAGAUGAGAAGUCGGCUGAGAUAUCUUGGUGGAUGAAUGCUGUAGAGUCAAUCAAAGCUUUAGGGAAUGAUCAAUACAAGAAACAAGAUUUUAAAACGGCUCUUAAAAAGUAUCGGAAAGCAUUGCGCUACUUGGAUGUUUGCUGGGAGAAAGAAGAGAUUGAUGAGGAGAAGAGUUCUCAUUUGAGGAAGACGAAGUCACAGAUAUUUACAAAUAGCUCUGCUUGUAAGUUGAAAUUAGGAGAUUUAAAAGGCGCAUUAUUGGACACAGACUUUGCAAUGCGUGAAGGAGAGGGUAAUGUCAAAGCCUUGUUUCGCCAGGGUCAGGUAUACAUGGCACUUAAUGAUGUAGAUGCUGCAGUGGAGAGCUUCAAGAAAGCAUUAGAGUUGGAGCCAAAUGAUGGAAGUAUAAAGAAGGAGCUUGCUGCUGCAAGGAAGAAGAUUGCUGAUAGGCGUGAUCAGGAGAGAAAGGCUUAUUCCAGAAUGUUCAAAUAAGCAUCCAGAUGGUCCGCCAGGCCAAUGUCAAAAAUUCUAAUCUGCUGCCCUCUUAUGUUUAUAUGGUCGAAUGGUUCAGGCUUUCUCCAUAUCAGGCAAUUGACUAGCUUUAGUAGAGUACAGGUUUUGUCAUUUUAAUGGGGCGAAGGAAGAAUUCCAGAUCCCCUUUUGGUUGCCAAAUCAUCUGCUGUACCAUUCAUGCAAUGUGUGAAAGAACUUAGUUUUAAAUGGACAAUUUUGAUCUUCUUAUCCCAGUCAAGUGGACAGUUUUGAUAUUCAGUUUUUCUUGCCUGUAAUGGUAAAGGUCUUGUAGAGAAGUCAAACAUAUGAUGGUUGUCUUUCUUGGCCCGCCCGCCCACUGCUUGGGGCAUGAGUAGGAUUAUAUGCUACUUGCAGGCAUACAUGCUAAUGUGGGUCAAAUGAGCUCCAAGUUGUUCAUCAUUUAGAUUUUAGACUCCAUUGCCUGUCUGAGGCUCAGGAAUCAUGCACAGAAA